rnacentral:rRNA from 1 species
GACGAACGCUGGCGGCGUGCUUAACACAUGCAAGUCGAACGAUGAAGCCGCUUCGGUGGUGGAUUAGUGGCGAACGGGUGAGUAACACGUGGGCAAUCUGCCCUUCACUCUGGGACAAGCCCUGGAAACGGGGUCUAAUACCGGAUAAUACUCUGUUCCGCAUGGAACGGGGUUGAAAGCUCCGGCGGUGAAGGAUGAGCCCGCGGCCUAUCAGCUUGUUGGUGGGGUAAUGGCCUACCAAGGCGACGACGGGUAGCCGGCCUGAGAGGGCGACCGGCCACACUGGGACUGAGACACGGCCCAGACUCCUACGGGAGGCAGCAGUGGGGAAUAUUGCACAAUGGGCGAAAGCCUGAUGCAGCGACGCCGCGUGAGGGAUGACGGCCUUCGGGUUGUAAACCUCUUUCAGCAGGGAAGAAGCGCAAGUGACGGUACCUGCAGAAGAAGCGCCGGCUAACUACGUGCCAGCAGCCGCGGUAAUACGUAGGGCGCAAGCGUUGUCCGGAAUUAUUGGGCGUAAAGAGCUCGUAGGCGGCUUGUCACGUCGGAUGUGAAAGCCCGGGGCUUAACCCCGGGUCUGCAUUCGAUACGGGCUAGCUA